rnacentral:rRNA from 1 species
AGAGCGAACGCUGGCGGCAGGCUUAACACAUGCAAGUCGAACGGACCCUUCGGGGUUAGUGGCGGACGGGUGAGUAACACGUGGGAACGUACCCUUAGGUUCGGAACAACACAGGGAAACUUGUGCUAAUACCGGAUAAGCCCUUACGGGGAAAGAUUUAUCGCCUUUGGAGCGGCCCGCGUCUGAUUAGCUUGUUGGUGAGGUAAAGGCUCACCAAGGCUACGAUCAGUAGCUGGUCUGAGAGGAUGGCCAGCCACAUUGGGACUGAGACACGGCCCAAACUCCUACGGGAGGCAGCAGUGGGGAAUCUUGCGCAAUGGGCGAAAGCCUGACGCAGCCAUGCCGCGUGGAUGAUGAAGGUCUUAGGAUUGUAAAAUCCUUUCAGCGGGGACGAUAAUGACGGUACCCGCAGAAGAAGCCCGGCUAACUUCGCGCCAGCAGCCGC